GGGGCUGUAGCUCAGUGGUAGAGCGCCUGCCUCGCACAUAUGAAGCACCAGGUUCAAUCCUCAGCACCA
rnacentral:tRNA from 1 species